CUUUUCAUUCCCGUUGUUAUGGAGGGCCACAUCUGCCAGAGCCUGGAGUCUGCGAAGGCCGGGACCCGGUUCCCCGGCCCACAGUGGGGGUGUGCAAACCCGAGAGAACUGGGUUGCAAAUUCGUGAAGAAUCAGCAUCAUGUUUGGCAGCUGAGUAUUGGAGCCAGGAGCCUGCCAUGAGUACCUUGGAAUGCAGCUGUAUUUGGAGACAAGGCCUUUAAAGAGGUGACUAAGGUAAAAUGAGGUCAGAGGAGUAGGCCCUAAUCCUGUAUGACUGGUGUCCUAAGAAGAAGAAAUGAGGACACAGACAUGCAGAGGAACAACCACUUGAGGACACAGGAGGAGGAGGGACUGACAGACCUAGGAGAGAGCCUCAGAAGGAAACCCACCAGCCAGCCUUGGACUUCUAGCCUUCAGAGCUGUGCGAAACGAACUGUCUGCUGUUUAGACCACCAGUCUGUGAUUUUUUGUUAUGGCAGACACUGGGUUAAAUGGUGCAGCUGAAAGAUGCUACAGACUCCAACUACAUCCCUAGGAAAGUCAAUCCAACAGUCCCCGGAGCCAAACUCGUGCUGGACAGGGUGAGGGCAUGAGUCCCUCCAGGGAGUGAGGACCAAAAGCGUGCUCCUGCCAGUGGGCCAGUGCUGAGGCUUGGAUGCAAGCGCUGAGGCUUGGAUGCAAGCGCUGGACUCAGAUGCAAACCCACAUGUGGCCAACGACUCGGUGUGGGGAGGUCCGGCACGUUAACCACGCACAGUGCUCAGCAUGGUGCCUGGAGUGGGUGCUCAACAGGCUGCUUUGUCAUUACGAUUCCCACACCCCUCUGCUAGUGGACAAGCAGUGUAUUGAGUAGUGAAGAGCAAAGACCUGGGGCCAAACCGUGGGGAUUCAAGUCCUGGCUUUGUCCCGUUCUGUGUGGCCUUGGACAAUUGCUUGACUUCUCUGUGCUCCAAACCACAUCUGUGAAAGGAUUACAGUACAGACCUCACAAGAGUUUCUGUGAGGAUUAAAUGAGUCACUACUA
rnacentral:lncRNA from 1 species